rnacentral:rRNA from 1 species
GCAAGUCGAGGGGUAACAGGAAAGCUUGCUUUUGUGACGACCGGCGCACGGGUGCGUAACGCGUAUGCAACCUACCUCAUACUUGCGGAUAGCCCUUGGAAACGAGGAUUAAUACUUCAUGGUAUCUUUAUUCGCAUGUUUUUAUGAUUAAAGGGUUUCGGUAUGAGAUGAGCAUGCGUCCCAUUAGCUAGUUGGUGAGGUAACGGCUCACCAAGGCGACGAUGGGUAGGGGGCCUGAGAGGGUGGUC